UGUUUAAAUCGCUCCCCAACUGUCAUUUUGGAAGAACAACAGGGCAAAGCCACGGCUUUCAACUGUUUUAAGAAAAGCACAUGGAUACAUUUGUGAGAGAAAAACUCGUCGAGUGCAGUCUUAUUGAGGCGUCUAACGGUUGGAACAAACAUGGAAUUCCUUAACCGAGCAGAGUCCACAAAACCCCAUCCAAUUGUCGUGGCGAUUUAAAAAUGCCAGCAGGUCUCUCAUACAUUGAUUAUAAUCAAUGGACAGGUAAGGAUAUUCUGGACUAUUUUCAAA